rnacentral:rRNA from 1 species
GGCGGCGUGCUUCACACACGCAAGUUCGAACGAAUGAAGCCUCGCUUCGCUAGGUCGGUUACGCGGCGAAACGGGUCGAGUAAUACGUGAGCGACUCUACCUUUCGACUUCUGGGAUAAGCCUGGGAAAACUGGGUUCUAAUACCGGAUACGACCAAUCUCCGCAUGGGGUCGUUCGGUGGAAAGCGCUAUGGAGUGGUUUUUAGAUGGGCUCACGGCCUAUCAGCUUGUUGGUGAGGUAAUGGCUCACCAAGGCGACGACGGGUAGCCGGCCUGAGAGGGUGACCGGCCACACUGGGACUGAGACACGGCCCAGACUCCUACGGGAGGCAGCAGUGGGGAAUAUUGCACAAUGGGCGCCGAGCCUGAUGCAGCGACGCCGCGUGAGGGAUGACGGCCUUCGGGUUUGUAAACCUCUGUUAGCAUCGAAGAAACGAAAGUGACGGUAGGUGCAGAGAAAGCGCCGGCUAACUACGUGCCAGCAGCCGCGGUAAUACGUAGGGCGCGAGCGUUGUCCGGAAUUAUUGGGCGUAAAGAGCUUGUAGGCGGUUGGUCGCGUCUGCCUGUGAAAGGCUGGGGCUUAACCCUGGUUUUGCAGUGGGUACGGGCUAACUAGAGUGCAGUAGGGGAGACUGGAAUUCCUGGUGUAGCGGUGGAAUGCGCAGAUAUCAGGAGGAACACCGAUGGCGAAGGCAGGUCUCUGGGCUGUAACUGACGCUGAGAAGCGAAAGCAUGGGGAGCGAACAGGAUUAGAUACCCUGGUAGUCCAUGCCGUAAACGUUGGGCACUAGGUGUGGGGGACAUUCCACGUUUUCCGCGCCGUAGCUAACGCAUUAAGUGCCCCGCCUGGGGAGUACGGCCGCAAGGCUAAAACUCAAAGAAAUUGACGGGGGCCCGCACAAGCGGCGGAGCAUGCGGAUUAAUUCGAUGCAACGCGAAGAACCUUACCAAGGCUUGACAUAUACUGGACUGCGUCAGAGAUGGCGUUUCCCUUCGGGGCUGGUAUACAGGUGGUGCAUGGUUGUCGUCAGCUCGUGUCGUGAGAUGUUGGGUUAAGUCCCGCAACGAGCGCAACCCUCGUUCUAUGUUGCCAGCACUUGAUGGUGGGGACUCAUAGGAGACUGCCGGGGUCAACUCGGAGGAAGGUGGGGAUGACGUCAAAUCAUCAUGCCCCUUAUGUCUUGGGCUUCACGCAUGCUACAAUGGCCGGUACAGAGGGUUGCGAUGCUGUGAGGUGGAGCUAAUCCCUAAAAGCCGGUCUCAGUUCGGAUUGGGGUCUGCAACUCGACCCCAUGAAGUCGGAGUCGCUAGUAAUCGCAGAUCAGCAACGCUGCGGUGAAUACGUUCCCGGGCCUUGCACACACCGCC